rnacentral:rRNA from 1 species
UGAAAUGCGAUAAGUAAUGUGAAUUGCAGAAUCUCGUGAAUCAUCGAAUCUUUGAACGCACAUUGCG